rnacentral:antisense_RNA from 1 species
AGAGAGCCUCGGCUAGCUGGGAUUCUAUCCCUGACCCUCUUCACAGUCCAGGUGAUCUUGACUACUGCUUUACAGAGAAUUGGAUCUGAGAUGUGGAAACAGCAAGAGAACUAGAAUUGGAAGUAAAGCGUUGAAGAUGUGACUGAAUUGCUGCAAUCUCAUGAUCAAAUUUGAAUGGAUGAGGAGUUGCUUCUUAGGGAUAAGCUAAGAAAGUGGUUUCUUGAGAUGGAAUCUACUGGUUGCUCCUUGAGGGCAGGACAGUUCUUAUGGCUUUAUCUGUUGCUUAAGCACAGAGAGAGGUCUGUGAGGUCAAAACUGUUGUCAUGAUAGCAAGAUGCUUGUCUUUUUCAUUUAUUCUCACAGUGUGCAGAGGCUACAUGAUUUGUGAUGACAUCCUCAUUGUUGUUAAUGAAUGGUGCUAUACUUGAAUUUUCUAAGGUGUCGUUAGAUGAGGUCUUGCUCAGCCUAUUCACAGCUGCCAUCAUAGUGAACUACAGCCUGAAACUCCUGGGUUCAAGCGAUCCUCCUGCCUCAGCUU